AUACGGAGGAUCCGAGCGUUAUCCGGAUUUAUUGGGUUUAAAGGGUGCGCAGGCGGCCAUUUAAGUCAGCGGUUAAAUCGUGGGGCUCAACCCCAUUCUGCCGUUGAUACUGGGUGGGUUGAUUGCGGUCGAGGUUGGCGGAAUUCGUUGUGUAGCGGUGAAAUGCAUAGAUAUGACGAAGAACACCGAUUGCGUAGGCAGCUGACCAGACCGCAAAUGACGCUCAUGCACGAAAGUGCGGGGAUCGAACAGGAUUAGAUACCCUGGUAGUCCGCACAGUAAACGAUGAAUACUUGUUUUCGGCGAUAUAAUGUCGGAGGCAAAGCGAAAGCGAUAAGUAUUCCACCUGGGGAGUACGCCGGCAACGGUGAAACUCAAAGGAAUUGACGGGG
rnacentral:rRNA from 1 species